rnacentral:lncRNA from 1 species
AUGAAAGGACGCUUGUUUACAGCACCAGAGCUGAAACAAGGCAGAACAUGUCUCUUUGUUCUGCUUCACUGGGAACACGCGUGUGGGGCAACUCACAUUUUGGCCAUUCUCUGCCUGUCCGUGAGGGAUUGGAGAAGCUCUGGAACUACUGAUUUUGGAAUUACACAUACAUUUUAUUGGUUAAAUUCCAUUCUCGUGGCUCGGGCACAUGGAACAUCAACAAAAAAAGAUGAAUUGAAAGUGAGUCUUUUCCAAAAGGACAUUCUACAAAGUAACUGGCUCAUAUUAUUCAAAAAUAUCAAGGCCAUGAAAGACAAAAAAAGACUGAAGGACUGUUCCAGAUUAAAGGAGACUAGAGAAACACGGCAGCUGAAUGCAAGCUGGCAAGCCUGGAUUGGAUCCUCAAAGAUUGUUCUCCUUUACUAUAAAAGACAAUAGUGAGACAGUUGAUGCAAUUUGAAUAAAGUCAGAGACUAGUUUAAUUGGUUGUGUUAACGUUCUGUGUAACUAUCCGUGUUAACAUUCAGAUUUUGAUCAUUGUCCUCUAGUUAUGUAAGAGAGUGUCUUUAUCUUUAGGAGCUAUGUACUGAGCUGUGUCAGGGUUAAGGGACAUCAUGUCUGCAUCUUACCCAACCUUUUUUCCAAGUCUGAAAUUAUUUUAAAUUAAAAAUUUGAAAGGAGGAUGCUUUUCCUCAUUCCCAGUUUUGCCAGCCAGUUGCCUUCCUCAGUUUCCAAAUGGCGGGACCUCCCUCGCUGAUGGGAUCUUUCACCUUGGCCAGAGCUUCAAGGGAAGCCGCGUGAUCUGGGCUGGCGGGACAGCUCUGGUGGGUGGUGAUGUCCUGUGAGAGGUGUUGGGUAUCACCUGUGUGUUUGGAAACAUUCUAGAGUCACAUCAGAACUCUCGAACAGCCUUUCUGUAUAGGAGGAACUUGGUUUUCUUUGGGCCCAAAGAAAGUUCUGAGACCUCUGUUAACCUCAGAAGAGGAGUACUUGUAGCAGGAAACCAUACUGACCACCAUCUUUUAGUACUUUCCUUUUUCCCCUCUGGGUGGAUAAUUGAGAACCGGGGCAAGUGGUGUGGUGCUGUGAAAAGAGGAAACAGCACCUGGCUUUGUCUCUGAGGCAGUCAAGCUGCACAGGACUUGCCCCAGGGUCUGGAGCUGGGCAGUGCCCAAGCUGGGUUUAGAACCCCCUACACUAUGUAUGGCCCACAGCCACUCAGCUUUAGUAGAAGGGAGGAUAUUCUGAAAGGUUGAAGGAAUCUUUCAUGGAACUCAAGGGAGGGAGGCACCAUAGAGCCUUAAGCAUAGGGAGCCCAAACAUGCCAGUUGGCCGGACCUGUCAGUUUAUGCCUCUUGUUCCAGCCUAGUUAUUAAUAGUGUUCCAUCUCAUGGUCAGAACUGCCUUGGUUUGACCAAUAAUUUAUUUGGCCAUGUAAUUGCAGGAUUAGAGCAUGGGACCCAGCUAAUCUCCCACAAGCCUUCCUCUGCCACCACCUCUGUUUUCUAGUUGGCCUUGGCUCACUGUCUGCCCUCUCUUUGUCUUUCUCCUCUGGCUUCCUCUGUUCCCUGAGAGAGGGUUUUUUUUUUUUUUUUUAAAUAUUUUAUUUAUUUAUUUGACAGACAGAGAUCACAAGUAGGCAGAGAGGCAGGCAGAGAGAGAGGGGGAAGCAGGCUCCCUGCUGAGCAGAGAGCCAAUGCGGGACUCGAUCCCAGGACCCUGGGACCAUGACCUGAGCCGAAGGCAGAGGCUUAACCCACUGAGCCACCCAGGUGCCCCAAAGAGAGAGGGUCUUGUAGCAGAAAUCUGAUGGCAAGGUUUUGCUUGAUGAAGAGGAGACAGUGCGGGGGGACAGUCCCUGUGGAAGGAACUGGUGGGUUUGGCAGACCUCGCAGGAGGUCUCUGUGACUGAAGUCAGAGGCUGAGAUGAAAAAAGAAAAGGAGUCAGAAGGGAGAGGGUUAGGCACCUGGCUCCCAGCAAUGACUGGCUUCUUCCAGCUGGAAGGCCCAACGCUUGUCUCCCCCCCACCCCACCCUCAUUCUUUUCCAUGUAUGUCGUCCUUCCUUUGGAGCUGUUCUAACCAGGUUCUCCUAGUUGGAUGACACUUGCUGAUGUGGAAUUGAGCCUGCAUGGUGAUGGGGGAUGUCUCAGGGCGGGUCUGGAGCCAGCUCCCUGCUACUCCGCUGCUGUCCCCACCUCCCCUCUCUACUUCUGCUUCCUCCUGGCUCCUGCGCACUCAAACCUUGGCUGGCUGGGUGGUCUUGGUAGGCCCGGGCUCUAUCCUGGAGGCUUCUUUCCUGUUCUGCCUCUGCUGCAAAAUUCCUGAAGGCGAAAUGAAAUCGUCCUGCCCCCCUCUUCUCACAGGGCUAUGAAAGUCACUCCCUCCACAGGAGCUGGAACUGAGGAAAGGCGAACUGGGCCGCUGGAGGGCCCGAGGAGCGUGGCGUGACCUCGGAGUGGAAAAGUGGACUGAAAUGCAGGGUCAGGAGCUAGCUUUGUGCCGUCCUGGGUAGCAACCAUGAGCCACCAUGUGGCUCAUUAAGUUAUAAUUUAAACAUUACAGUGUAAUUAAAAAUCUGGGUAGUUGCUCUAGCCACCUUGCACGGUUUCAUUUAGCCACAUGUGGCCAGUGGCUUCUGUGUUGGACAGACAGAUAUAGAACAUUUCCAUUCUUGCAGAGAGUUCUGUCAGACAGCCCUGGAGAGCUCUUACAGCUUUUCACCCUAGCGCUAUGUCAAGUGUUUUCUUGAAAAACCACUAUAUCAAGUGUUUUCUUUGUGUGUUUUACUAGCUGCUACAAGUGCUUUUAAGAGAUUGGAGGGGUGAAAGGAAAAUGCGGUCUAUAGCAAACUUAAAAACAUUCCAGUCACCUUAUAACUGGUCAGUAAGUCAGACAGUUUCCAGUGGUGCCUUUUGUCAUGGAAUUCUAGAACAUUCAUGCAAACGGAGACUUUACAUGUCUAACUUAAGUUAUUCUUCUGCCAUUAUCAUAAUUUUUGUCAUAUCCCAGUUCUGUAUGUACUGUUUAUUCCAUAUUUCCCUUUAAAUCAACUCAUUUUUAUUUCACCUUGUUUGAAAUGGAGACUUCAUGACUGUAAGUGGAAAGCCAUCAAAAGGAAAUGUGUUUUUUUUAAAGUGAGCUUUUUGUUUUAUUACAUUUUAAAAUUUUAAUUCCAGUGUAGUUAACAUAGUGUUAAUUUCAGGUGUACAAUAUAGUGAUUCAGCAGUUCUAUACAUUUCUCAGUGCUUAUGAUAAAUGUACUUUUUAAAAAAAGAUUUUAUUUGACCAAGAGAGGGACAGUGAGAGAGGGAACACAAGCAGUGGAAUGGGGGAGGGAGAAGCAGGCUUCCCACUGAGCUAGUGCUUGGUGCAGGACUCGAUCCCAGGACCCUGGGAUCAUGACCUGAGCUGAAUGCAGAGGCUUAAUCCACUGAGCGACUCAGGUGCCCCUAUAAGUGUACUCUUAAAGCAAGCUUUUUUAUUGAAUAAUUUUACAUGUAUGUACAAAUGCCCAACUCGUAAGGACAUAGCAUGGUGAUUUGCAAAUCAGUGCUGUUUCAAUUCUAGAGGAUUUAUUAUUUUGCUUAUCAAAUUCUAGCAGAUCCUUUUCUCUGUGGAAGGCUCUGAGCUAGACUAGCUACCCCUUUCUUAACCCACUGAGCCACCCAGGCGCCCUAGCUACCCCUUUCUUAAGAAGGAGAUUAGUGGGGCGCCUGGGUGGCUCAGUGGGUUAAAGC